rnacentral:rRNA from 1 species
CGAUGAUGCCCAGCUUGCUGGGUGGAUUAGUGGCGAACGGGUGAGUAACACGUGAGUAACCUGCCCCUGACUCUGGGAUAAGCGUUGGAAACGACGUCUAAUACUGGAUAUGAUCACUGGCCGCAUGGUCUGGUGGUGGAAAGAUUUUUUGGUUGGGGAUGGACUCGCGGCCUAUCAGCUUGUUGGUGAGGUAAUGGCUCACCAAGGCGACGACGGGUAGCCGGCCUGAGAGGGUGACCGGCCACACUGGGACUGAGACACGGCCCAGACUCCUACGGGAGGCAGCAGUGGGGAAUAUUGCACAAUGGGCGAAAGCCUGAUGCAGCAACGCCGCGUGAGGGAUGACGGCCUUCGGGUUGUAAACCUCUUUUAGUAGGGAAGAAGCGAAAGUGACGGUACCUGCAGAAAAAGCACCGGCUAACUACGUGCC